rnacentral:piRNA from 1 species
CAAGAGGAAAUGUAAAGGUGUAGAGCU